CAACUCUGAGUAUGUUCACUCUGGGUUGGGGGCGUUCCUGUUGACUAUAAAGAGCCAUCAUCAAUAGAUCUCUGAUAACAUGAUCAAACAUGGACCAAAAGCGUAGAUCCACUUACUUUCCCCCACGGAAUUGGAAAUUCUAAUGAACGCGUAUGCCGAGCAGUUACCCAGAGAGAGCUUGGCCUGAAAUAGCUGAACAAGUCAAUGCAGUUGCCCCAAGAGGACUUGGCAGCAAAUGAAGAUGAAGUACAAAAAUAUAGUUCAAACAGUUACUGAUGGCGUCAUCGCCCUACUUGAACCAGAUGCCCUCACCAACCUCCAUGCAAUUGUAACAAUUCAAAAGAUGCAAAAGGAUGCUUUGGAGAUCCACAUUUUGGAACAUAAGUUAAAGGUGAGUGAGGUGCAAACUGGGAUACUGUUCUCUGCUCUAAAAACAUA